AUUUGAUGUUACACAAUACUAAAGAUAUAUUAUUUUAUUAAAAUUUUUCUUUUUACAUUUUAAAAUACUUAUUUACAUACUUGACCUAUAAAAGAACAAAUAUAUGUCCAAUUUGAUUUAUUGUCUAAAUGUUUAUUUAUAAUCUUGCCAUGUGUUGAUCUUGUUUUCCUUUGUUGGUUUUUUUUUUGCAAAUUUAAAUAAAAAAGUGGUGAAACUUAUUUUUAAAAGUGAUGUUGAUUUCAGCAGAAAUAAAUGUCUACAUCUUCGAUAGCAUGUGGGAUAAGGUUGUCCUGUGAGAGAACGUUUUGUGCCGGUGAUUCGGUACUGUGAUUAGAAACACGGUGUGUAAGGUUGUCCUGUGAGAGAACGGUUUGUGCCGGUGAUUCGGUACUGUGAUUAGAAACACGGUGUGUAAGGUUGUCCUGUGAGAGAACGUAUUGUGCCGGUGAUUCGGUACUGUGAUUAGAAACACGGUGUGUAAAGUUGUCCUGUGAGAGAACGUUCUGUGCUGGUGAUUCGGUACUGUGAUUAAAAACACGGUGGGUAAGGUUGUCCUGUGAGAGAACGUUUUGUGCUGGUGAUUCGGUACUGUGAUUAGAAACACGGUGGGUAAGGUUGUCCUGUGAGAGAACGUUCUGUGCUGGUGAUUCAAUACUGUGAUUAGAAACACGGUGGAUAAAGUUGUCCUGUGAGAGAACGUUUUGUGCUGGUGAUUCGGUACUGUGAUUAGAAACACGGUGGAUAAGGUUGUCCUGUGAGAGAACGUUAUGUGCUGGUGAUUCGGUACUGUGAUUAGAAACAAGGUGGGUAAGGUUGUCCUGUGAGAGAACGUUUUGUGCUGGUGAUGCGGUACUGUGAUUAGAAACACGGUGUGUAAGGUUGUCCUGUGAGAGAACGUUCUGUGCUGGUGAUUCGGUACUGUGAUUAGAAACACGGUGGGUAAAGUUGUCCUGUGAGAGAGCGUUCUGUGCUGGUGAUUCGGUACUGUGAUUAGAAACAAGGUGGGUAAGGUUGUCCUGUGAGAGAACGUUCUGUGCUGGUGAUUCGGUACUGUGAUUAGAAACACGGUGGGUAAGGUUGUCCUGUGAGAGAACGUUCUGUGCUGGUGAUUCGGUCUGUGAUUAACGGUGGGUAAGGUUGUCCUGUGAGAGAACGUUCUGUGCUGGUGAUUCGGUACUGUGAUUAGAAACACGGUGGGUAAGGUUGUUCUGUGAGAGAACGUUUUUGAUGGUGAUUCGGUACUGUGAUUAGAAACACGGUGGGUAAGGUUGUCCUGUCAGAGAACGUUCUGUGGUGAUGAUUCGGAACUGUAAUUAGAAACACGGUGGGUAAGGUUGUCCUGUGAUAGAACGUUUUGUGCUGGUGAUUCGGUACUGUGAUUAGAAACACGGAGGAUAAGGUUGUCCUGUGAGAGAACGUUUUGUGCUGGUGAUUCGGUACUGUGAUAAGAAACACGGUGGGUAAGGUUGUCCUGUGAGAGAACGUUCUAUGCUGGUGAUUCGGUACUGUGAUUAGAAACACGGUGGGUAAGGUUGUCCUGUGAGAGAGCAUUCUAUACUUGUGAUUCGGUACUGUAAUUAGAAACACGGUGUGUAAGGUUGUCCUGUGAGAGAAUGUUCUAUGCUGGUGAUUCGGUACUGUUAUUAGAAACACGGUGGGUAAGGUUGUCCUGUGAGAGAACGUUCUAUGCUGGUGAUUCGGUACUGUGAUCAGAAACACGGUCGGUAAGGUUGUCCUUAGAGAGAACGUUAUAUGCUGGUGAUUCGGUGCUGUGAUUAGAAACAAGGUGGGUAAGGUUGUCCUGUGUGAGAACGUUAUAUGCUGAUUAUUCGGUACUGUGAUUAGAAACACGGUGGGUAAGGCUGUCCUGUGAGAGAACGUUCUAUGCUGGUGAUUCUGUAGGUACUAUGAUUAGAAACACAGUGGGUAAGGUUGUCCUGUGAGAGAACGUUCUAUGCUGGUGAUUCGGUAUUGUGAUUUGAAACACGGUGGGUAAGGUUGUCCUGUGAGAGAACGUUUUAUGCUGGUGAUUCGGUACUGUGAUUACAAACACGGUGUGUAAGGUUGUCCUGUGAGAGAACGUUCUAU
rnacentral:lncRNA from 1 species